rnacentral:rRNA from 1 species
GAUGAACGCUGGCGGCGUGCCUAAUACAUGCAAGUCGAGCGAACAGACGAGGAGCUUGCUCCUCUGACGUUAGCGGCGGACGGGUGAGUAACACGUGGAUAACCUACCUAUAAGACUGGGAUAACUUCGGGAAACCGGAGCUAAUACCGGAUAAUAUAUUGCACCUCAUGGUUCAAUAGUGAAAGACGGUUUUGCUGUCACUUAUAGAUGGAUCCGCGCCGCAUUAGCUAGUUGGUAAGGUAACGGCUUACCAAGGCAACGAUGCGUAGCCGACCUGAGAGGGUGAUCGGCCACACUGGAACUGAGACACGGUCCAGACUCCUACGGGAGGCAGCAGUAGGGAAUCUUCCGCAAUGGGCGAAAGCUUGACGGAGCAACGCCGCGUGAGUGAUGAAGGUCUUCGGAUCGUAAAACUCUGUUAUUAGGGAAGAACAAAUGUGUAAGUAACUAUGCACGUCUUGACGGUACCUAAUCAGAAAGCCACGGCUAACUACGUG